CAGGAAGGCCCAGUCCUUGCCCAAAAGCCUGUGUGGUCUGAGAAGACAGAUGACACACAAAGGGCAGGAGAAAGAAAGAUACUCCAGCACAGGCAAUUCUGAAACCCAUCUCUGCAUGAUAAGGAGCACCUAGAAACCCCAACCAGGAUCCGGGCUACAUUAUGCUGAGCCCUGCACACUCUCAAGAGGACACGGCCCUUCCCUGAAGAACUUACAGUUUAAUAGAAGACAAUGCAUUUACAACACAACAGCUCCAAGCACAAUGAAGGGAAGGAAGCAACUGUAUGUAUUACAGCUAGACACUGCUUCAAAGGAACAUCUUCAUAGCUGCAGCCCCGUGACCUGAAGGAGCUGAGAGCAGCCAGGGCUUGCUGCAAUUGCCAUAGGACAUUUGUUUUCCCUUUGAAGGAGAACAGGUGUAAAAUAAAAUAAAGGUUGUUCCUUAUAUACCUGCCAUGUUGCUGCCUGGUGAAAUGCAAGGCAAACACACAUGGUCACUUGUAUUCAAACUGGGGAAGGGAUGUUCUGCCAUUAAAUGGUUCUCAGCUCUCUCCCUGCAGUUGGGAGAGUCUGUAAUUGCUCCCCAAUUGGUUGGUAUUUAGCACGCAAUAUCCUAAGGAGCUGUGUUUAUGGUGUAUUAGUGAGCACUAAGUACCCUUUCAUGUUGGAUGCUGAGAACUGUAAGAGACAGCUAGCGUUUAAAAUGGAAGUCUGCUCUGA